UAUUGUAUAAAUAUUUUAAGCAAACAUAAUUAAGGCAUGAUCAAAGCAAUGGAUCGAAGGCACCGGUAUAGAUAUAGAUAUAGUACCUGUAUCCGUAGUAUAUAAGUAGUAAAUAAUAGAUAAUAGACAGAUAAUAUAAUAUAUUAUACAUAUUAUGAAGACUAGAAUAAGGAGGAAGCCCGUAAAAAAAACCGAAAAUAAAUCAGCGGAACAGUAUUUUGGUCGAACCAUGUUAAAGUUAAAUUUCACACUGAGCUGUGAGAAUAAUCUGUAAAUCAUGCUAUGCUGUAAACCAUGAUAAAGUAAUGCUGUUAUGAUUUAUAAUAGACAAUGUAUUUAUACAUCGAGUAAAACACUAAUGAAUAAACUGAAGAUACAUGGUAAUGACAACAAAACACGAUACGUGUUAAUAGCAUGG